rnacentral:rRNA from 1 species
GUGCCAGCAGCCGCGGUAAGACAGAGGGUGCAAACGUUGUUCGGAAUUACUGGGCGUAAAGCGAGUGUAGGCGGUUUGGUAAGUCGGAUGUGAAAGCCCCGGGCUCAACCCGGGAAGUGCACUCGAUACUGCCAAGCUAGAGUAUCGGAGAGGUUGGUGGAAUUCUCGGUGUAGAGGUGAAAUUCGUAGAUAUCGAGAGGAACACCGGUGGCGAAGGCGGCCAACUGGACGAAUACUGACGCUGAGACUCGAAAGCGUGUGGAGCAAACAGGAUUAGAUACCCUGGUAGUCCACGCCGUAAACGAUGGGUGCUAGGUGUCGCGGGCUUUGACUCCUGCGGUGCCGUAGCUAACGCAUUAAGCACCCCGCCUGGGAAGUACGGCCGCAAGGCUAAAACUUAAAUGAAUUGGCGGGG